CAGGGAGACAACAAAAUGUUUAAUAUUAUUAUUUUGUCACCUUAGGUCGAUCGGUAUCUCACAUUCUUAAUUCGUUAAGAAUUUUAUUUCCUAAGUUUUUCUAGGUCACACCCAUUAUUUUUCCUGGGCCAUUAGCUCAGGUGGUUAGAGCGCACCCCUGAUAAGGGUGGGGUCCCUGGUUCAAGUCCAGGAUGGCCCAUAUCUCUAUGUUGGGGGUAUAGCUCAGUUGGUAGAGCGCCUGCUUUGCAAGCAGGAUGUCAGCGGUUCGAGUCCGCUUACCUCCACUGAUUACCACCUCUUCCAUAAUCUGUAGAAAGGGAAAUUUUUUGAGUUGUGAUCAUUAUCCUGAACGAAUCUAGCUUCCUAAUGAAAUCAUUAAGAUGCUGGACUCAUUGAAUUAAUUUCAUUGUUUUCAGAGAACCUUGACAACUGCAUAGAUUAUUUUUAAAGACAAUAAGCAUCUUUAAUGAUGCAGAUUUAUUAUUUGUGCAAAUGCAUUAAUAACAAUUCUAUUAAGCUGAUGCUUCAAUUUUGAAGUUAUU
rnacentral:tRNA from 1 species